rnacentral:rRNA from 1 species
UACGGGGGGAGCAAGCGUUGUUCGGAUUUACUGGGCGUAAAGGGCGCGUAGGCGGUCAGCACAAGUCAGUUGUGAAAUCUCCGGGCUUAACUCGGAAAGGUCAACUGAUACUGUGCGACUAGAGUGCGGAAGGGGCAACUGGAAUUCUCGGUGUAGCGGUGAAAUGCGUAGAUAUCGAGAGGAACACCUGCGGCGAAGGCGGGUUGCUGGGCCGACACUGACGCUGAUGCGCGAUAGCCAGGGGAGCGAACGGG